AUGCGAGUCGAGAGGGGUUAAGCCCUCGGCGAACUGCUCAGUAACACGUGGGUAAUCUACCCUCAGGACAGGGAUAACCCCGGGAAACUGGGGAUAAUACCUGAUAGGUGAAGAUGUCUGGAACGAUUCUUCGCUCAAAGCUCCGGCGCCUGAGGAUGAGCCUGCGGCUGAUUAGGUUGUUGGCGGUGUAACGGACCACCAAGCCUGAGAUCGGUACGGGCGUUGAGAGACGUAGCCCGGAGAUGGGGACUGAGACACGGCCCCAGGCCCUACGGGGCGCAGCAGGCGCGAAAACUCCGCAAUACACGAAAGUGUGACGGGGGAACCCCAAGUGCACUCACAUUAGUGAGUGCUUUUAUGAAGCGUAAAUAGCUUCAGGAAUAAGAGCUGGGUAAGACCGGUGCCAGCCGCCGCGGUAACACCGGCAGCUCGAGUGGUGAUCACUAUUAUUGGGCCUAAAGCGUCCGUAGCCUGUUUGGUAAGUCCUUGGGCAAAUCCUACUGCUUAACGGUAGGAAUUCUGGGGAUACUGCCAGACUUGAGGUCGAGAGAGGUCGGAGGUACUUCUGGGGUAGCGGUGAAAUGCUAUAAUCCUAGGGGGACCACCAGUGGCGAAGGCGUCCGACCAGAGCGUGCCUGACGGUGAGGGACGAAAGCCAGGGGCGCGAACGGGAUUAGAUACCCCGGUAGUCCUGGCCGUAAACGCUGUGGGCUAGGUGUUGCAUGCUCUACGAGGGCAUGCAGUG
rnacentral:rRNA from 1 species